rnacentral:rRNA from 1 species
GACGAACGCUGGCGGCGUGCCUAAUACAUGCAAGUCGAACGCAGUGGGGACGGGUGAGUAACACGUGGGUAACCUCCCAUCAGAGGGGAUAAAACUUGGAAACAGGUGCUAAACCGAUACUGAUGGAUGAACCCGCGGUGCAUUAGCUAGUUGGUGGGGUAACGGCCAACCAAGGCCACGAUGCCUAGCCGACCUGGUAGGAUGAUCGGCCCAACGGUGGUGGAGACACGGCCCAUACUCCUACGGGGGGCAGAAUGAGGGAAUCUUCGGCAAUGGACGAAAGGCUGACCGAGCAACGCCGCGUGAGUGAAGAAGGUUUUCGGAUCGUAAAACUCUGUUGUUAUAGAAGCGGUAUCUAACCAGAAAGCCACGGCUAACUACGUGCCAGCGGCCGCGGUAAUAC